GUUGGCAUCUGGCUCAUUUGAGAGCUGUGAAAGUGAGUUUUGUAUAAUACUGAUGCAUCCUGUUUUCAGGCGGUCCUUUGUGGAGGUAUUUUCCAUUCCCUUAAAACUUUAAGAUCACCUGUGGGGAGAGGGGAGCUGCCGACAGUGGAAUGUGGCACAGAGGAGUCUUGCUUGACAAGCUGCGGGACAGGAGGCCGAAGGCAAGGUGCAAGGAUGGUGAAAUUGAGGUCGAAGGAACAUAAAGUGACUUGCUCAGGGUCACUUAGCUAGUAUGUGAUGGUGAUGCAAUUUGAGCUCGAGAGCCAGACGUCUUAUGCACACGGAUUACAGCCCUCUGUCCUCUGCUGGUCAGUCCCUGGGGACACAGGUUGCUUGGGAGCCCCGGUGUGGCUGUUUCAUGGCCAGGCGGGAUGGGCUGCUAGAGGCAUACUGACAGCAGUGACUGCUCAAGCCAGUGGAGGCUCAGUAUUCGCUGCUUCUUCCUGGAAUUUUGCAUACUGGUGGUCAUCUGGAAGGCUGACUGCUCAAGCACGAAAAAGGCAAAGAAAUUGUCUGGAGACCCCAGGCAAUAAAAUGAAUGAGAGGGAAAAGAGACUGCUAUGUGAUUUGGCUUAAAAAUUAGAAAUACCAAUUAUAUAUCUGAAGAGCGGUUAAUAUACAAAAUAUAUAAAGAACUCCUCUAACUCAAGACUGAAAAAACAAACAAUCCAAUUAAAAAAUGGGCAAAGGA